AAAGAGAGAGUUGACCAAAUUUUGACUUUUUGAUCCGUGGCUCGUAUCGACGAUCGGAGACCGUGGUUGCGUUCAUCUCGUCGAGACGAACCCAUUUUGCUAUUCAUACGUCCAUUCCGGGCACUUUGAAACCCGUAGCGAGCCCAAUAAAUUCAGACCGUUCGUUGUUUUAAAAAAAAUAAAAUAAAAGAAAGGAUAAAUACUGGAUCGAUCCAUCCAGACUCUUCACGUCGUGUGUUUCUCUCUCUCUCUCUCGCGAACUCUCUUUCUCCUGUUGCUUUGCCGCCGCUGCGCUGCUCCUGCCGCGGCGCCGCUGCUUGCUUGCGCCAACACGCCGCCGCCGGCCGCCGCUGCGUCGAGCCGCCGGUCGCCGCCACGUCGCGCCGAGCACCGGACGCCGUCGCUCCCGCACACGACGCUGUCGCCGUCCGCCGGCUAGCGCAGCCUGCAUCGCCGGACUGCGCGCCGCCACUGCCGUGCACCGCUGCUGGCCGCUGUGCGCCGCCGUGCGUCGCCGUAUAGGCAAGCCAGCAGCAACCGGCCGAAGAAAACCAGUGCAACACGGAAGAAGAAGCCAGGAGAAGAAGAAGGAAGAAAAGAAAGAGAAAAGAAAAAAGAAGAAGAAAAGGAAAAAAAAAAGAAAAGGGGAAAAAGUUGGAAAUUUUCAAAAUUUCGUCGAAUUCUUCGUCAAACUUUCGAAGGCGAAUUUUCGGUAUGUUUAGAUGUUGACGUGCAUUUUGGGGAUGGAUCUCGGUAGCUGCACACACUAACUUAUCACGAUGUCGAUAGCUCAACCGGUGUAUACAAGUGGUGUGUCUGAUGGUCCGUCGUUUGUUUUUGUUUAUGUUGUGGUACGACGCUGGUAGCGUCAUGACGGACUCUAUAUAUAUGCUGGUUAUAUCUGUUUCUGCCUGCCUGUGAUAUUUCUUUUGGUCAGUUAUACCUCUCUAUAGAGGAAAUACUGCCAAAAUUUCCUUUUUUAUAUAUAAAUAGGCUUGGUUGUAAAGUAGGGUGUUACAG